rnacentral:tRNA from 1 species
UCCCUGGUGGCUCAGAUGGUAAAGAAUCUGCCUGCAGUGCAGCAGACCCAGGUUCGAUCCCUGAGUCAGGAAG